rfam:Saccharothrix sp. NRRL B-16348 P442contig4.1, whole genome shotgun sequence.
CUUGACCGAUCCCAGCCACAGCGGGUCGCUCGCGGUGCGGCGGCCGUAGGUGGCCAGCAGCGCCUGUGCUUC